GUCAGUGUCACAAUGCAAAACUUAAUGGUCUAAAUAUGUUCAAAAUAGAAAUAAUAAUUUGUAUAUCUUUAGUUUUUGGGGUGAAAUUUUUCCUGAGCAUGUUUGUUUUUUUGAGAUUCAGCCAUAUGAGCUCUUUAUAUUAGAUACAGUAUGCCAAACAAAAAUUUUUAACGACCUUAUUCAAGCCAAUUUUAUCUCUCAUCAGUAUCCACGACAUGCAGUAUGAGUUUUAUUUGAUUUAAAAAGGACAACCAUAAUGAGAUUACAAAUGAUCUUUAUGUGUGUAUGUUUAUGGUUGGAUGAUUAAAACUCGGAGCAAUGCAUCAGAUAUGUUUGCCGUUGCCAAUAACCUUUUCUCCAGGUGACUCUCUCGUCUUGCCGACUUCAUAGUGAUGGUCCUGUUUGGCUGCGUUCACAAUGCAAAUACACACUAAUACGCACUAUUUGUCUUAACAGUCGACGUCAGACCUCACUUAAAGCUGGUACUAGGCUGGCAUCCUUUACUAGUUACCAAAAACGUGACAAAAAGCUGGAAUCGACAAGGCGAGUCAUGUUUUAAAUGCGCUGUUUUGUGUUUGUAUGUAACGUAAAUGGAAUCAAAUACCGCUUAUUCGGGUCACAAUUCCACUAACCUGUGAUGGAUGAUGUCAUAUCCAGCUUUGCAUGUGAUUGGCCAGAGGUUUCCAGAGGAGCUCGACCUCAAAGCACUGAAGCAGCCUCUCUUUGUGUCCGAACAGCACCAUUAGCAAUGAUUGGCAAAAACGAUGCCAUCGGUCGGGAAGGGCCUUCCUCUCUCUCCCUGUGAUCAUUUUUAUACUGCAGAUAUUUAUUUGGUCACCGUUUAAACUUUGUUGUAUAGUUAAAUGUAAGUAGGAAUCUAUGGGACUAUAACUUAUUGUUUUGUACACAGAUCUGUAAAGAGAGAGUGUAGAUGUAAACACUUCGGAAAGAGGAGUUCAGAACUUUGUGUUGUCAUGGAUGUAUCUUCACAUUUGUUUAAAAAAUGACAAAACAGGAAAUAAAAGGCAAAGUAUUUUCC
ensembl:lncRNA